rnacentral:lncRNA from 1 species
CUAUCAUCAUUUUUUUUUGAGAAAUUCAUUUUCAGCCGUUAAUUUUUGUGUCCACUCGAUGGAUAAGAGAACAAUAUCGAAAAUAUAUGAAAUUUGAUUUCUAAAUACUUUAAAUGGUAUAGAUCAUGUUCACCGAUGCCGAUCAUCAAUUUGGAGGCUCCAUCAUGAAAACAAAUGGAUGGCAAAAGAGCGAUUUGCUAUCGAUAGUAUUCUAGCUCA